AUAUAUAUACAUCCAUGCUGACGAUAUCGGAAAUUCAUAAGUCCCCCUUAUUACAAGACCUCUAAUGAUCAAGUUAAUAUAAGAUAAAUUUUAUCAAGCUUAAAAAGAAAAAUGGUAAGAAAUUUAAAAAUAUGAGAGAUUGUUUAGAGAAUGAAGAGGGUUUUUCCUUUUUCUUCUCCCAAAAUGUUUUUUCUUUUUAUUUAGGGAAGGCAACGGGUCGAAUUUUUAUGGGUACUCGAUCUGACCAAACUUAAUAUGACAGAUUUAGGUAGUACAUAAUCGGGUCAGGUUUAAAAUUUAAUACCCGAAGCUGUUUAUAUAAAUAUUCAAUUAAAUAUAAAAUAUAUGUUUUUUAUAAUAAUAUUUAUAAAAUUUUACAUGUUUUAUUUUAUAUAAAGCGAAAUUUAAAUAUUU
rnacentral:misc_RNA from 1 species